CAGGUGGCACUGUGCCUGCCCAUCAGAAAUGCAGCUGUCCUCAGCCUCAGCCUCACCAGGAACCCCAGGUAGCGCUGUGCCUGCCCAUCAGAAAUGCAACUGUCCACAGCCUCAGCCUCACCAGGAACCCCAAGUAGCACUGUGGCUGCCCAUCUCUACUGUCCACAGCCUCAGCCUCACCAGGAACCCCAGGUAGCACUGUG